AUUGAACGCUGGCGGCAGGCCUAACACAUGCAAGUCGAGCGGAUGAAGGGAGCUUGCUCCUGGAUUCAGCGGCGGACGGGUGUGUAAUGCCUAGGAAUCUGCCUGGUAGUGGGGGAUAACGUCCGGAAACGGGCGCUAAUACCGCAUACGUCCUGAGGGAGCAAGUGGGGGAUCUUCGGACCUCACGCUCUCAGAUGAGCCUAGGUCGGAUUAGCUAGUUGGUGGGGUAAGGACCUACUAAGUCGACGAUCCGUAACUGGUCUGAGAGGAUGAUCACUCACACUGGAAGGUGGACACGGUCAAUACGACUACGGGAGGCAGCAGUGGGGAAUAUGGGACAAUGGGCGAAAGCAUUAUCCAGCCAUGGCACGUGUGUGAAGAAGGUGUUCGGAUUGUAAAGCACUUUAAGUGGGUAUGAAGGGCAGUAAGUUAAUACCUUGCGGUUGUGACGGUACUAACAGAAUAAGCACCGGCUAACUUCGUG
rnacentral:rRNA from 1 species